AGGUGGUGCAUGGUUGUCGUCAGCUCGUGUCGUGAGAUGUUGGGUUAAGUCCCGCAACGAGCGCAACCCUUAUUACUAGUUGCCAUCAUUAAGUUGGGCACUCUAGUGAGACUGCCGGUGAUAAACCGGAGGAAGGUGGGGAUGACGUCAAAUCAUCAUGCCCCUUAUGACCUGGGCUACACACGUGCUACAAUGGAU
rnacentral:rRNA from 1 species